AGGAGAGUUUGAUCCUGGCUCAGGACGAACGCUGGCGGCGUGCUUAACACAUGCAAGUCGAACGGGGCGAUUUGAAAGCUUGCUUUUGAUGAGCCUAGUGGCAAACGGGUGAGUAACGCGUAGGCAACCUGCCCUCAGGAUGGGGACAACGGCCCGAAAGGACCGCUAAUACCGAAUGAAGUGUCGGAAUCGCAUGAUACUGAUACCAAAGGCGGAGCAAUCCGUCACCUGAGGAUGGGCCUGCGUCUGAUUAGGUAGUUGGUGAGGUAACGGCCCACCAAGCCGACGAUCAGUAGCCGGUCUGAGAGGAUGAACGGCCACAUUGGGACUGAGACACGGCCCAGACUCCUACGGGAGGCAGCAGUGGGGAAUCUUCCGCAAUGGGCGAAAGCCUGACGAAGCAACGCCGCGUGAGUGAAGAAGGUCUUCGGAUCGUAAAGCUCUGUUGUCGGGGACGAAGGGGCAGAUCAGGAAAUGGGUCUGCUUAGACGGUACCUGACGAGGAAGCCACGGCUAACUACGUGCCAGCAGCCGCGGUAAUACGUAGGCGGCAAGCGUUGUCCGGAAUCAUUGGGCGUAAAGGGAGCGCAGGUGGGACGGUAAGUCUUUCUUAAAAGUGCGGGGCUCACCCCCGUGAGGGGAAAGAAACUAUCGUUCUUGAGUGCAGGAGAGGAAAGCGGAAUUCCUAGUGUAGCGGUGAAAUGCGUAGAUAUUAGGAAGAACACCGAUUGCGAAGGCAUCUCACGAAUCCGUCAUUGACGCUGAGGCACGAAAGCGUGGGGAUCAAACAGGAUUAGAUACCCUGGUAGUCCCCU
rnacentral:rRNA from 1 species